GACGAACGCUGGCGGCGUGCCUAAUACAUGCAAGUCGAACGAGAGCAACCGGUGCUUGCACUGGUCAAUCUAGUGGCGAACGGGUGAGUAACACGUGGGUAACCUGCCCAUCAGAGGGGGAUAACAUCCGGAAACGGAUGCUAAAACCGCAUAGGUCUUCGAACCGCAUGGUUUGAAGAGGAAAAGAGGCGCAAGCUUCUGCUGAUGGAUGGACCCGCGGUGCAUUAGCUAGUUGGUGAGGUAACGGCUCACCAAGGCCGUGAUGCAUAGCCGACCUGAGAGGGUGAUCGGCCACAUUGGGACUGAGACACGGCCCAAACUCCUACGGGAGGCAGCAGUAGGGACUCUUCCGCAAUGGACGCAAGUCUGACGGAGCAACGCCGCGUGAGUGAAGAAGGUUUUCGGAUCGUAAAACUCUGUUGUUAGAGAAGAACAAGUGCUAGAGUAACUGUUAGCGCCUUGACGGUAUCUAACCAGAAAGCCACGGCUAACUACGUG
rnacentral:rRNA from 1 species